rnacentral:tRNA from 1 species
GUUAACGUAGCUUAAACAAAAGCAUGGCACUGAAGAUGCCAAGAUGAGCCGUAAAAAGUUCCGAUGACA